CUAACAGUUUGCAGAUCAGUUUGUUCUUGUUCCAGAUUUAAAUGAUCUGAGAGUCGAUGCCAGCAUUCAGCCUUCAUCCAUAGUUUCACAAGAGUAAAAAAAAAAGCCAACUAAUGUUGAUCACUUAGCUUUAGCUUCAAACCAUCGUAUAGUUGCUAGAAAAGAAAAUCUUGCAUCAUUAAACACAGAGGAGAGUCACAUCAAACUAAAUUAGAAAGAAGCGACCUUUUUUACACCAGAGUUUUUGCUUCCACUGUGUAUUGAUGUAUUUAACGCAGCUUUCUGAGCAGUGAGGUGGUGACAUGAUAACAUGUAGAGCUGAGCUCCAUGUGACUGACUGUGAGUUUGCAUAUGUGUCCUGCCUCUCUGCUCCCAGUUGUUAAGAGGUCAGUGUUGAUCAGUGUCUGUCCAGGUCUUUCAGAGCCACUGACACACCAGCAGAACAAUGAAGAUGUUACUGACUCUACUGCUGACCACCCUGGAGCUCCUGGUUCAGGGUUCAUCAGGAGACAUCAUCCUGACUCAGAGUCCAGGAUCUCAGUCUGUUGCUCCAGGACAGACUGUCUCUAUUAAAUGUAAAGUCAAUCCAAGUGUGAAUUACUGCUUCAACUGGUACCUUCAGAAACCAGGAGAAGUGCCUAAACUCCUUAUCAGAUGCGCAGACACCCGUCACUCUGGAGUUCCUGAUCGUUUCAGUGGAACAAACUCUGGGAAUACCGACUUUACUCUGACCAUCAGUGGAGUUCAGGCUGAAGAUGCUGGAGUUUAUUACUGUCAGAGUAAUCAUUACCUCAAAAGUCAGCAUGUGUUCACACAGUGA